GUCUACGGCCAUAAAAUCCUGAACGCGCCCGAUCUCGUCUGAUCUCGGAAGCUAAGCAGGGUUGGGCCUGGUUAGUACUUGGAUGGGAGAGUAACCCACCUUAGCUUAGGGUCCUUCAAACC
rfam:Myotis lucifugus cont2.9267, whole genome shotgun sequence.